rnacentral:lncRNA from 1 species
AGGAAAAAUGAGAGUGUUGUCGUCGGGGUGGUGAAGGGUGGGGUUUUUGUGGCCGUGGUAAGGUUUAAGUAAAGCAAUGUGAAGCAACCACUCCUAUGCAUUUGAUGAUGCGAUAUGGACCAUAAUAUUUUCGAAUGAGUUUGUGGUGAGGCUUGGAAGAGAGGGAAAAUUGUUGGUAUGCUUUUCGUCGUAGUGGCACCCAAUUGUUAAUGUUGAAGACGUAGUCGUGAUUUGUUUGCAAUUUGGGCCAUGCGAUGUUGAGUGUGAGCGAGGGUGGUCUUCAAAUGGUGCAUUAUCUAUGUGCACUCUUGUAAGGUAGUGGCGAGAGCUGGUUCUGUUGUCGUGCUCGAAAUGUAGUCUGAUAUGGAAGGUGGAGGUCGCCCAUAAAGCGCUUGGAAAGGUGUAGUAUUGAUUGCGGUAUGGUAGGACGAGUUAUACCAAAACUCAACAAGGUGUAAGUACUUGUACCAUGUCCUCGGAUGGUCACUUGCGAAGGUAAAUUUCUAAUCCUCUAUUUAUGACUUCCGUUUGACCAUCUGUUUGAGGAUGAUAGGCGGUGCUAAAUUUGAGUUUGGUGCCUUGUAGGUGAAAAUGUUGCUUCCAAAAAAUUACUGAGUAAGAGUGAGUCUCUAUCGAAGAUGAUGGAUUUGGGAAUGUCGUGCAACCUACAAAUCUCAACAGAAAACGGUUAGCCAAUUGGGAUACGGUGAAGGAGGUGGGUAAUGCUAUGAGGUGGACAGAUUUGGACAAAAGAUCACAUAUGACCCAUAUCACCGUGUGGCUAAAUGUGUUAUGAAAUCUGUGGUGAGCUCAUCCCAAAUUUGGGUUGGUGAGGGAUUGGGUUGUAAAAGACCUAAGGGUUUGUUGUUGACUUGUUUAUUUUUUUUGGCAAGGGAGACAUUGUUUGAUGAACGAUUUGACAUCUCUAUACAUCCCUGGCCAAUAUAAGGACGCGGCUAGGCGAGCCACAAUGGCUUUAAGGCCCGAGUGUCCAACAGAGGGGGUGGCAUGGAACUAGUGAAGUAUGGUGGUGUGCAGAGAUUAUAUGGAUGUUAGAUAUAGUCUUCGGUCGAGAUACAAAAGAUCGUUUUGAAAGGUAUAUUCUUUGUUUUGAGAAGCUGUAACUUUGUGUACUUCUUGUUUCCCCAAUUUUGACUGGUAAUAUUUUUUUAAUUGCAAGAGGAUUUCUAGGAUUGGGGAGGAGAUGGCCAAAAAAAUAGAAGUGGGUGACCGAGAGAGGAAAUAAACUGCUUGAUUGUGGCGGUCUGGGCGGUACAAAAUAUAAAAAAUGUAACCAAUGAGUUUGGUGGCCAUUUUUGUUGCUCUAGAGUAGAACAUGCCUUGGUAAGUAACCCCUUAAGACUUCUGUGAGAAUUUGGAAAUGAUUGUCAAUUAGGUAGUGUCUCCAUUUUUUUAUUGCCUUAGUGAUUGCGAGCAUUUCUUUGACAUGCACUAAAUUAUAAUGUAUUUUGGAACAUAGCUUCUUGCUGAAGAAAGCAAUGGGAUGACCAGCUUGGGAGAGAACUGUGCCAAUGACAGAAUUGGAGGCAUCUUUUUCAACCACAAACGAAAGAGAAAAAUCUAGAAGAUGUAGAACAAAGAGUGUAGUUAGGAAUUUCUUAAAUUGUAAAAAGGUCUUUUGUGCCUCUUCAUUCCAUGUAAAAACUUUGAAUUUUAGUAAAUCCGUGAAUGGAGGGGCAAGAAUGGCAUAACCGUGUAUAAAUUUGUGAUAAAACUCGGUAAUUCCCAAAAAAACGCGGAGAGUGGUGAGAGAGGUAGGUUUGGGCCAAAGAAGUAUGGCCUGAAUCUUGUCUGGGUCAGGAGCAACAGUCCCUGCUUGAAUGAUAUGGCCCAAAUAGAAAACCCUAGACGUUGCAAACAUGCACUUAGAUUCUUUGACAAAAAAUUGUUGUCUUGAAGUAAUUAGAGAGUAAUGGUAAGGUGUUGGAUAUGCUCUGACAUGGAUUUACUGUAGAUAAGGAUGUCAUAAAUAAACUAGCACAAAUUGUCUUAGAUGCGGUCUUAGGAGGUCGUUCAUGGCCGCUUGAAA